AUACGUAGGGGGCGAGCGUUGUCCGGAAUGAUUGGGCGUAAAGGGCGCGUAGGCGGCGCGGUAAGUCUGGAGUGACGGUCCUGCUUUCAAGGUGGGAAUUGCUUUGGAUACUGCCGCGCUUGAGUGCAGGAGAGGUUAUCGGAAUUCCCGGUGUAGCGGUGAAAUGCGUAGAGAUCGGGAGGAACACCAGUGGCGAAGGCGGGUAACUGGACUGCAACUGACGCUGAGGCGCGAAAGUGUGGGGAGCAAACAGGAUUAGAUACCCUGGUAGUCCACACUGUAAACGAUGGAUGCUAGGUGUAAGAGGUAUCGACCCCUUUUGUGCCGGAGUCAACACAAUAAGCAUUCCGCCUGGGGAGUACGGCCGCAAGGUUGAAACUCAAAUGAAUUGGCGGGG
rnacentral:rRNA from 1 species